UAUGCUUUCCGUUAAAUACCUGGCUGACCAUUUUCAGUGACGGUAUUGGGCUGGAUUGCUCUAUGUAAAUAUUUACCUUAUGUUACCAGUACCAUGUUUUUCCAUUAUGUAGAACUUGUGGUUCGUCGUCACCUUAUAUUAUAUUUUAAGAUAGGUGACAUUAUUCAUAGUAAAAUGCAUUAUUUUACUACAUUGGCAUCGCCGGUAGGCAAAUAAAUUGUAGUGUAUAGAGAUCAGAGCUGAAGAUAAUUUACCACUUUUUGAGAAAAAGACUAUAGCAGGUAUGAAGUAAGAGUUAUCUUUCAUUAUAAGACUUACUCCUUCAAUAAUGAAAUUGAGUUACUGCCCUUUGGAGCCAACUUCCACUUGAGGUAGAGGUUAUUAGAAGUAAUUUCAAUAACAAUGGGAAGGACAACCAAUGAAAUUCUUUCUAUUUAUAACUAUGUUCUGCACUUUAGGACCUAUUGAUGAUCAUUAUAUUACCAAUGUUUUCUAUUUAAUUUUUAGGUGGAAUAGCUACAUCGAAGAGUCCAGGCAUCGAAAGACCGUAUUUCUUCAGUUUGUUUGGAUGAUUUAACCGAUUCUUACUUGUGUAAAAGUGUAAUUACAUGUUUUUAAGUUAAAUAUGGUCUGUUUGUUUGGAUAAUUCCACAGGAACCGUCAACAGCGGACUUGAAUAGAUGAUGAGCGAGAUCAUAAAAUGGAUUGCCUGUACUCCUGCGUCAACACAGUAUAAAGGAUUUCAACCUAAAAAGAAACCCUGCACAUUUGCAGCUGUACAGAAUGCAGUUCAUGCCAUAUGCUGUUAGAGUAAAUAAUGAAAGAUGUUCAAACCAGUGUCAAAGAGUCCUAAGUCUGAAAUCAUGGUGCUUUUAUUAAGGAGACCAGUGUUUGUUUUCUGUGCGUUGUUGACAUUUGUAGAACUUUUCGGUUUAUGACCAUCUCUCUGACAAUAACUCUGACAUUUGAAUUUCAAUUUGAGCGUUGGUUAAGAAAGCCAAAUCAUAUGCAUGUAAAACAUUAUACCAGUGUAAUAAAAACAUUGAUAAACUUCAAUUUAAACUUGGUUCAUGUACAUGUAUCUGUUAUCUUUGCAUUGAAAUUCAUAAAUGCUGUACAUGGAUACUUUUAAUGACUGUCUCAUGGUAAUGGAAUAUUCAAUUGUUAAACAUUGUUGAGGAAUCACCUUGAAUAAAAAUAUUGUGAACUUG